CUUAGACACCGUAGGGUUAUCAGAAUGUUCGACUAGCAUGGCAGUUAGAUAGGCCUACUACAUAGGCGGUGGAGGAAGACACCAAGGGCAAUUCUUGUUGCAAAGAUCCUAAGGCCCGCCAAGGUGGGCACCGAGCUCGCCAAGGUCACCAUCAUCGUCCUGGAGGCGGACAGCAUCCAGCUUCUGCCUCAGGACCGUGAUUGCGUUCAUGAUCAGCUCGUAGGCCGUGAUGGCGCCAGUUGUUUCUACAGUGAAGAUGAAGCUGU
rnacentral:lncRNA from 1 species